UAUGGGGAUCUGCCCGAUAGAGGGGGAUAACUACUGGAAACGGUGGCUAAUACCGCAUAAUGUCUACGGACCAAAGCAGGGGCUCUUCGGACCUUGCACUAUCGGAUGAACCCAUAUGGGAUUAGCUAGUAGGUGGGGUAAAGGCUCACCUAGGCGACGAUCUCUAGCUGGUCUGAGAGGAUGAUCAGCCACACUGGGACUGAGACACGGCCCAGACUCCUACGGGAGGCAGCAGUGGGGAAUAUUGCACAAUGGGCGCAAGCCUGAUGCAGCCAUGCCGCGUGUAUGAAGAAGGCCUUAGGGUUGUAAAGUACUUU
rnacentral:rRNA from 1 species